ACUUUAAUUGAAGAGUUUGAUCAUGGCUCAGAUUGAACGCUGGCGGCAGGCCUAACACAUGCAAGUCGAGCGGUAACAGAUUGAUAGCUUGCUAUCAAUGCUGACGAGCGGCGGACGGGUGAGUAAUGCCUGGGAAUAUACCCUGAUGUGGGGGAUAACUAUUGGAAACGAUAGCUAAUACCGCAUAAUCUCUU
rnacentral:rRNA from 2 species